rnacentral:misc_RNA from 1 species
AAGUCGUAACAAGGUUUCCGUAGGUGAACCUGCGGAAGGAUUAUUAACACAUUUUCUUUCAAAUAUAAACAUUGAGAACUAAGAGCCAUCAGUGGGAGUGUCGGCAGGCAAUGGUCGGAUCCCUCCAUGGGAUGGUCUGCCGGAUAGUAAAUCCAUAAGAGUGCCGCGCUGGUCGUGGUGCGAUGAAGAUGAGGUUCGAUCUCUACGCUGGUGGUAUCACGGUCUCUGACCUGGCUGGCCCUUUUUUUUAAAAUUGAAAUACGUCUGAUGUGGCUUCAGAUCGAGAAGGCCUCCGGGUCUUUUCUUUGAGGCCAAAAGCGAUGGAGGAAUCCAUUGUUUUUCAAAUCAAACACAACUCUUAACAGCGGAUAUCUCGGUUCUC